GACUAACCAUGAUUAGACUUGUAAUAACUCAAUUUGCUCGGGCCCAAAUUACAAACAAAGAAAAGGCCCAAAUAGAAUCAGAUAAACAAAACCAAAAAUAAAUGAUAAAAUCCAUUAAAAUCCAGUCCAUUUACAACCUAUGCCAAACCCAAUUUAUAAAUACAAGCCCAAGUACAAAAGACUAGCCCAACAAAAUUACACAGUCCAAUUGGCCCAAAACUUUAAAAAAAUUUCCGUUUCUCCUUUGCCAAAUCACCCACACCUCGUCUUGAGGUUCGUCUGCAAGCUUGCACCGAAAUGGAAAAAUCCCUUCUCCGCCUCCGUCAACGCCUGCAAACAAGCAAAAAAGGGGAAAGCAAAAACAAAGCAAAUAAACAGUAGAAAAUAGUAGCAAACCUUUUGUAUUCAGCUAUAAAACCGCAAAAAGAACCAAAUUGUGACACACGAAAAAAAAGCAAUUAAAAACAGAUUAGAAUUUUAAAAGGUGAAAUUUUUAUUUUUUCUUUUAUUUUUUUUUUGAAUAUGUUAUUUGUGCAUAUAGAACAAUAAUAAGACUAAACAUCUUACUGAAGAUAUUGUCGACGCCGUGUGGUCCUUUCCAUCAAUUUGAGGGACCUGAAAACCCAUUAGGGUUCCGCCGAAUGCCCCAUCGGCGAAAGGCUAAACCUUUCGAUUUCUUCCCCCGGGAUGAACACAGGUUAGAUUUUAUAGGGCUUUAGAGCCCAAACCUAGGUUUCUAUUCGGAAAAAAAAAUGCCUCUUUCUCUCUCCGGCCAUCGUGGAUGGGGGCGCUGUCACCGUUGCUGGUGGCCAUCAUGGUGGUCCGGACCAUUGGCCGACCUUAGGGCCUGGUGUAGAGAAAAGGGAGAGCUUUUGGUUUUUUUUUUUAAAUAAGGUUGAAAUGAAAAUUUUGAACAAAAUUGAUUUAAA
rnacentral:lncRNA from 1 species